AAUCCUGAUGCCUCUGGACAUUGGAUUUGUGCAUUUUACACUUUCUAAUGAGGUUAUGAUUUGUUUCAGUGGUUAGAUUCUAUAGUUCAAUUUCGUUUUCGUUCACACUGGUUCUAUGCUUUGUAUUGCAUUUCUGUUCACUUUUAGGUACAAUUUCUAAGUCUGUGAGAUGUUGAAUUUUGAUAGAUAGUUGUUGUUAGGUUCUUUUACUUGGUUGAUCUUAGUUUAGGCAUUGUUUCUUGAUCUUAUUUUCUGUUUCUGAUGUGCUGUUUUGAUAAUUGGAUUUUGGAUUUUGGAUUUUAAAUUCUAAGAUCUUAGGUUGUUUGCUCAUUCCACUUUGACUUUUCACUUCAUUAUACUAUUCUUUCACUGUCCAGAUUAAGUUCAUUUUUUUCAUUGUAUCAUUUCAUUUAGGUUCAUGUCAUUUAGCAUUUAGCAUUUAGAUUUCCUAGCUUUUAUAUUCGUUGAAAAUAGCAUUGUUUGUUUUUGUCUCUCACCAUCUUUUCUUUACAUUUUAGGUUUAUUUGCUUAGUAGUUUAGCUUUCUAUUUCUUUUUCUUGUACUUCAUUUCCCCACCUUGUCUGUUAGUUAGUAGUAAUUAGAAAAUAAAAGCAAGAUUUAACUAUACACUUUAAGCUUAAUUCCAAUGAGUCCUUGGAUUGAUCCUUGGUUGACC
rnacentral:lncRNA from 1 species